GUUAAAUGAGAGUUUCUGGUAUAGCCUGCUUCUAGUAAUAGUUGGCACAAGACUUGCUGCAAGGAAAGAGACAAAGAUAACAAUAAGAUGGAGAGGGAGUAAGGGAAGGAAGAAGCCAUGCCUCUCUCUGCUUGUCGGAGAUGAAUGGACCCGACAAAUCCCGGAGCACUUCAAUGAUAUCAUCGAACGACACCUUGCCAUUGCUGUCUGCAUCGUAUACCUUGAAAAUAACUAAAAUGAAGACAUAGUAGCAACAAUUAGUAAGGAAUAACAACUGUCUCAAACCGAGUUUUGUGCAGUGACUGAACUCUUGAUAGAGUGUUUCAAAGUCAUGAUAGUUGAAGUAGAUAUCAUGGUAAAAGUUUCUCCAUAUUAAGUCAUCAAACUUAUAAUCCAUGACAUCUCGGUUGUUUUAGUGACAA